CUGGCGGCGUGCCUAUAAUGCAAGUCGAAGCACGAAGUUGAAGAGCUUGCUCUUUAACCAAGUGAGUGGCGGACGGGUGAGUAACACGUGGGUAACCUGCCCAUUAGAGGGGGAUAACAUUCGGAAACGGAUGCUAAUACCGCAUAGUUUCAGGGAUCGCAUGAUUCUUGAAGGAAAGGUGGCUUCGGCUACCACUAAUGGAUGGACCCGCGGCGUAUUAGCUAGUUGGUGAGGUAAUGGCUCACCAAGGCAAUGAUACGUAGCCGACCUGAGAGGGUGAUCGGCCACACUGGGACUGAGACACGGCCCAGACUCCUACGGGAGGCAGCAGUAGGGAAUCUUCCGCAAUGGACGAAAGUCUGACGGAGCAACGCCGCGUGAGUGAAGAAGGUUUUCGGAUCGUAAAACUCUGUUGUUAAAGAAGAACAAGGAUGAGAGUAACUGCUCAUCCCCUGACGGUAUUUAACCAGAAAGCCACGGCUAACUACGUGCCAGCAGCCGCGGUAAU
rnacentral:rRNA from 1 species